UACGAAGGGUGCUAGCGUUGUUCGGAAUCACUGGGCGUAAAGCGCACGUAGGCGGCGAUACAAGCUAGAGGUGAAAGCCCAGGGCUUAACCCUGGAAUUGCCUUUAGAACUGUAUCGAUAGAGUCUCGGAGAGGAUGGUGGAAUUUCUAAUGUAGCGGUGAAAUGCGUAGAUAUUAGAAGGAACACCGGUGGCGAAGGCGGCCAUCUGGACGAGUACUGACGCUGAGGUGCGAAAGCGUGGGGAUCAAACAGG
rnacentral:rRNA from 1 species